GUCCCCUUUCUUUAAAUCAUUAUACUCCUUAAUUUUAGAAUUAGUCUUGAGAAGUGCGCUGACUUCCCACUGAUAGUCAUCUAAUUGUUUUUUCUGCUCCUCGUAUUCCUUCUCAAGUUUCACUUUCAAUUCACUGCAGUAACUCUGCAAUUUUUCUCUCUCCUUAGAUAAAGGGCCGAGAGCCUCUUCCAAAUGCUUCUCAUCAAGCUCAACUUGGUUUUUUUCCUCAGAUAAUCGUUCCAACUCCUCUUCCACCUUUUUUAGAUCAUGCAAGGUGUUACCUAUUCUAGUUUUCUCCUCCCUUAGACCAUGCCAACGUAGUUGAAUGUGUGACAAAUCAUUUUCCAUGUACCUCCUAUCUUCCCUUAACUUCUCCAGUUCAGUAUGCAAAGCAUCCCUUGUGCCCUGCAAACUACUCAGUUCUGACUGAAUUUCUUCCAUAGAUCUGACACCUUGCCCCCGAAAGUCAAGCUUGUACUCCAAAUCAUCAACUUGCUUUUGCCACGUUUGGAUUUCUUGAUAAAGCCUAUCAGCAGUUUCAACAGGUUGCACCAGGGCGUCAACUGAGUCCUUGUCAGCCUUUAUUUGAGCUAAAACACCCAACACAUCAUCAAGGACUUGAGAUUUCUCAUCCAGCUGUUCAGUAAGUUCAUGCAAAUUUUUC
rnacentral:misc_RNA from 1 species